ACGCGAUAAAACCUUACCUACCUUUGACAUGUCCGGAAUCGUGCAGAGAUGCGGGAGUGCCCGAAAGGGAAUCGGAACACAGGUGCUGCAUGGCUGUCGUCAGCUCGUGUCGUGAGAUGUUGGGUUAAGUCCCGCAACGAGCGCAACCCUUAUCAUUAGUUGCUACGCAAGGGCACUNUAAUGAGACUGCCGGUGACAAACCGGAGGAAGGUGGGGAUGACGUCAAGUCCUCAUGGCCCUUAUGGGUAGGGCUUCACACGUCAUACAAUGGUCGGUACAGAGGGUUGCCAAGCCGCGAGGNGGAGCCAAUCCCAGAAAGCCGAUCGUAGUCCGGAUUGUUCUCUGCAACUCGAGAGCAUGAAGUCGGAAUCGCUAGUAAUCGCGGAUCAGCAUGUCGCGGUGAAUACGUUCCCGGGUCUUGUACACACCGCCCGUCACACCCAUGGGAGGAUGAAGUAGGUAGCCUAACCGCAAGGAGGGCGCUACCCCGUGUU
rnacentral:rRNA from 1 species